AUAGACUGAGACAUAUUCUGUGCAUCUUUUAUCUCAUCAUCUGUCUCAUUCUUUUGUCUAAACACAAAUGCACCUCAAGGAAAAGCAAUAGCAGGGUGUAUUCCAUGUUCUUCAUGGUGUUGGCUGUUCUCUACAAAUGUAAAGUUAAGUCUAAUUGAAUCUUGUGUUCUUUGCCCUUUUUUGGCUUCCCGGAGAUAUUUGUUCUUGUUCCACAUUAGAUUUUAUCUUAUUUCUCUUUUUUCUUCUAUAAUUGGCUUGGGAUGAGAUUGUUGUUUGGUGAUUGGGUAAAUUAGUGUAACCAUUUGCCAGAACUGACAUUUCAAUGAAACUGACAUGCUCUGUUUCUUUGCUUCAUUGUUUGGUGUCGAUGAGAGGAAAUAUGAAUCCCAUGAUGUCCGGUAAGCUCCAAAAAUCACGUGCACCAACCCAUGAACAGCCUUACUUCUAGCUUUUCUGGGCAGGGUAUACAAAUCUUUUUAUAAAUUUUCUGCUUAUCCUUGUAGAGGACUGACUCGGAAAAAAUAGGAUUAGCUUUUAUUUUCUAACUCCUCUUCUUGCAGGGAUUGAUCUUAAUUGCCCAGUGAACUUUGUAAUUUUUUCCUGGAUACACAUGACCUUUAUGGAAUAGGGAUUCUGAAGGAAUAGAGUUGUCACCUUUAGAGGUGCAAUUUUAAUGAAAUUGAUUGGACUUGUUUUCUCUUUGGGGUAAGAGGAUCCUAGCAACGUUGAAAAUGUUGGGUUUCAUCAAUGUAUGAAAAUAUUUGUUCUCAAGUCUGGUUUGUCCAUUUUGCUUACAUCAAGUUCACAUUAUUAUAAAGGAAAUUCAAUCAAUGUAAUUAAAUAAAUGCACAUAAAUUUUCAGAACUCCCCCAAAAAAUUUCCAGGCCUUGUUUCUUUAGCCUUUUAAUCACAUCCUCCUUAUGUUUUUUAAUUCAAAAACUUUGUGGUUGAAUUUACCUUUUCUAUUAGUUGUCCAGACUCUGGAGUUCUUUAAGCAGCCAAUUGAUCCCAGACAUUAGUGUGCCCAUUUCUUUUGGACCAGCAAGUACCAGAAUAUGAAGGUUGCCUCCAAAGAGAUUGGCAAUGACAUUCAAACUCUGGUAAUUGUUUGAUGAGGCAUCUGAAUCUAGGAUGACUUAACUUCACACUUCAUGCUUAUGGUCACGUUCAAGUUGAAAUCAGCUAGAAAAGGUUGAGCUUACCAGUGUUGGUUGUUACUGUAAGUGUUAGCUUACAGGAAUUUGAUAUAUUAAUUCUUCAAAGACGUCUCAUGGAGUACCAUCCUAUAACAGCAAAAGUGCACUAAUCAGAUUCUGAAAUAAGAUUGUGGGAUACAUUUAAUGGAGGGAUAAUUGAAGAGUGUCAGGGUAUAUUCAUGCCAUGAGUAUUGAGUUGCGCCUUCCUAGUUCCAUUAGGUUUUCUUAUUUCCAAAAAAAAAAAAUGU
rnacentral:misc_RNA from 1 species